ensembl:lncRNA
CUCCGAUCUGCCGGCGCAUCGCGGAGAAAACCAAUCGGGUGUCUGGAUGCUCAAUGUUUAUACUUCUCAUCCAACCACAAUCACGUUCACUCUGUCCGCAUAGCGCCGUUUAUCUGGAGAAGCCGGAAGUAACGAGACUGUUUUUAAAAUGUAAGUAGAAGUAAAAAGUAAAAAUAAAUACUCCAGUAAAGUUUCUACUUUACUUGACACCUCUGCCUAAAAUACUUUGAGAUUUGGGGCCAGCACUUUCCCGCCCUACGCUGAGUCUCGCGACGCGCCCAUUUAGCACCAUGACAACGGCGAGCAGUGUCCCUCCGACAGGACCGGACCCGGACUCGGUACGUUCUCUCCUCAAAGAGCCGUUUGACGGAACAACUUUCGCGGAGAAACUCGAGGUGAAAGAGGUGGACCGGGAUCAGCCAGACCUCACGACCAGACAACGGACCGGUGUGAAAGGGAAGCCGAGGCUUCUACGCCGGGAGGUUUAGCUAGCUAGUUAGCUACGUGCUAACCGCCGGUCCGCAUGACGUCACCGCGCUAAAGUUAACAUCGCUGCCCAGCUGCGACGCACACAGGACCGCGACACUGAGGAGUGAAAUAUUAUAAACGUGAUGAGGCCGAUAUAUAAAGUCCCAUUCACCUGUGUGUCUUCCCGCACCGUGAUGCCCAUUUCUGAACCACGUUUUGGAUGAAGAAGCACUGAUGUUGAGACGUGCUUUCAGACAUGAGAGGAUGUUUUGGACAGAUCAGACCAGCAUGAAGCCAUCUCACCAUCCCACACAUGCUCCGUAUGGCACGGCGCUUUUUUGCAAGCGGCGUGGGUUUAUAUGCCGAACCUGUAAAUAAAGGCACUAUUUGCCGUGCUGUAAGAAGUGUGUGUUUGGCACUGUAGUCCUUGGCACACAUCUUUAUUACCUUCCCGGGCCUCAGAUGAAUGUGUCACAUCAAAGAAGAUUUCCACAAGACAGUCCACAUAUUCCGUGUAAAUGGGUGAUUGUGUUUGAUGUUGUGAGAUGCAUGUAAUGGUAAAAUACGUUGUGCUAAACCCGUGUCUCAAGUCUCCGUAUUUGACCCUGACGUGCAAAGAGCAGCAUGAUACAAAAUGUUGGUUUGCAGCUGUGUCCUGAGAAGGCCUCGAUCUCGAUCUCAUAGACGCUUCGAUACAAGGGACUUCUGUUCGUGGCCUUGGUUCAUAUCCUAUUUGCUUCUCGUACCUGGCACUGAGGAUGGUCUUCACAUGUGUAUAAAAACUCAGCGUUUUUACCGCUCGGAGACUUUACAC